UCGCCGGUAGUGUGAUCGUGUAGUAACCGAACGCCUCGUCUCUUCGUGGAAAGUCCGCGGGGUGGUGGCACGGGGGGGGGGCAGAUGUAUGUAUAACGUAAGCGUGUAUGUCACGGGCAGUCACGAUCGCGGACGCGGCCUCAUCUUUCUCCCGCGGCCCGCCCUCCGUGCAGGGCUGCCUCAACCAUUAGGCUAAAUGGACUAUAAUUUCUGGGCGCGCCGUGAUUUUUCGAUUGUGUAUUUUGCUGGAAGCAUUAAUUCUCGCUUUAUCUAAAAGAGAGAUAUCCCGCUGAUCGGCGGGAUUUUGUGCCCUCCACUGUCUCUCAAUCGCGUUGUACCGUAGAGCCUAUCACGGUGAAAUAUUUUGUUAAAACGGGUGGUCGCCUUUUUUAACAAAAUGCGCGUUUUGCAUCCUGCUACUAAUAUAGUAUUACAUCGCUAAACGGCUUCAUGAAGAGUUAAUGCGAUUCCACUCCCAUGUUGUUCUCUCCUUGAGAUUCGCGAAAUGCAUUUGUAUCAAAGAUGCACCCAGUCCUGACUUCCUUGAAGUCCGCGGUUUAUUAUACACACGCGCGAGUAUACGUGCACACGUGAAUGCCUAUGCGAGCUGAGGUUUAAGGUGUUAUGUUACCCGAGUCAAAAGUCCAACUACCGAGUUAUCAUAGAUAAAAGCAUGGUUGCAUGUUGGAUGCUUAGGACACGUUGCAGCCGUGCGAUACUCUGGCCCUGCGUUCAAAUCAGGAUGAAAUUCCAACGUGAUGUACAUCAAAUAGAUUCGUUUUUAUUGAGAAGAAGAGAAACGGCUCGGAUAACCAUAACAAGAUGCUUAAAUUGUAACUUAAAAGGAUCGUGAAAGUUGCGGUGGAAAGAUGGUUAAACAGAUAUAAUGAUGCGGUCCGGAUAAUGGGAUAAAGUAUCAAAUAUUAUCAGGAUGAGAGACGAGGAGGAAGCUGCAUCACGCAGUUCGGUACGAAAUACCACGUCGGCAAAUAAUGGAUAUAUUGCCUGGGCGGAAUGAUUACUACUUGCGAAUGACGGCAAUUUCUUUCGCGGUUAUGUGUACCCGUCGCCUGAUGACGGGUUUUUUCGUCGCCAAGAACGCGGAUUUCCUGUUGCUCGUCGCGCUAUUAAUGACUCUCUGUCCAUUUUUCGAGAAGCGACGAAAUCGCAGAUGAAGCCGCGGCGAAUAGUCGAUGGAUCGAAGGAGGCUGUCGCACGCGAGAUUAGAGCGACUGCACGAUUGAUUCAAAACGUGAGAAUUUAGCGGAGAUAGCUGACUAGACAAGGGAACACGACUGAUCCGAAGCCAUCAAUUUGGGAGGAACUUUGUAAACAGACAAAGAGUGACUCAAGACAUGAAUAAUGGUAUGCUUUAUUCGUGGCCAAUUGCCCUUUAAAGAGGUGCGACAUCUAACCUCUCAGGAUCAAAGGAGCAGUACACCAAUCUUUUUCUGAUGUAAUGAAUAAGAAAAGAGAAUUGAAUUUGAAAUAAAAGUCAAAUUUCAGACAG